rnacentral:rRNA from 1 species
GAAUUUUGGACAAUGGGCGAAAGCCUGAUCCAGCAAUGCCGCGUGCAGGAUGAAGGCCUUCGGGUUGUAAACUGCUUUUGUACGGAACGAAAAGCUUUGGGUUAAUACCCUGGAGUCAUGACGGUACCGUAAGACUAAGCACCGGCUAACUACGUGCCCGCAGCCGCGGUAAUACGUAGGGUGCAAGCGUUAAUCGGGAUGACUGGGCGUAAACCUUGCGCAGACGGUUUUGUAAGUCAGGGGUUAAAUCCCCGGGCUCAACCUGGGAACUCCCUUUGUGACUGCAAGGCUAGAGUACGGCAGAGGGGCGUGGAAUUCCGCGUGUAGCAGUGAAAUGCGUAGAUAUGCGGAGGAACACCGAUGGCGAAGGCAACCCCCUGGGCCUGUACUGACGCUCAUGCACGAAAGCGUGGGGAGCAAACAGG